rnacentral:rRNA from 1 species
AUUGAACGCUGGCGGCAGGCCUAACACAUGCAAGUCGAGCGGAGCGGCGGACGGGUGAGUAAUGCCUAGGAAUCUGCCUGGUAGUGGGGGAUACCGUCCGGAAACGGGCGCUAAUACCGCAUACGUUCAGAUGAGCCUCGGGCGGAUUAGCUAGUUGGUGGGGUAAAGGCCUACCAAGGCGACGAUCCGUAACUGGUCUGAGAGGAUGAUCCGUCACACUGGAACUGAGACACGGUCCAGACUCCUACGGGAGGCAGCAGUGGGGAAUAUUGGACAAUGGGCGAAAGCCUGAUCCAGCAAUGCCGCGUGUGUGAAGAAGGUCUUCGGAUUGUAAAGCUCUGUAAUUUGGGAGGCGUUACCAACAGAAUAAGCACCGGCUAACUUCGUGCCAGCCGCCGCGGUAAUUC